AGUGAACGCUGGCGGUAGGCCUAACACAUGCAAGUCGAACGGCAGCACAGUAAGAGCUUGCUCUUACGGGUGGCGAGUGGCGGACGGGUGAGGAAUACAUCGGAAUCUACUUUUUCGUGGGGGAUAACGUAGGGAAACUUACGCUAAUACCGCAUACGACCUACGGGUGAAAGCAGGGGAUCUUCGGACCUUGCGCGAUUGAAUGAGCCGAUGUCGGAUUAGCUAGUUGGCGGGGUAAAGGCCCACCAAGGCGACGAUCCGUAGCUGGUCUGAGAGGGUGAUGCGGCACACUGGAAGUGAGACACGGUCCAGGCUCCUACGGGAGGCAGCAGUGGGGAAUAUUGGACAAUGGGCGCAAGCCUGAUCCAGCCAUACCGCGUGGGUGAAGAAGGCCUUCGGGUUGUAAAGCCCUUUUGUUGGGAAAGAAAAGCAGCAGGUUAAUACCACGCUGUUCUGACGGUACCCAAAGAAUAAGCACCGGCUAACUUCGUG
rnacentral:rRNA from 1 species